GCCUUGUCUGAAGGUAGUUAUCUCAAUUGAUUGUUCAGUCAGUUACAGAUGGAACUCCUUGUUCUACUCUUUCCCCCUUUCUCACUACUGCACUUGACUAGUCUAAA
rnacentral:Y_RNA from 1 species